rnacentral:lncRNA from 1 species
AUGGAUGUGUACUGGCUACCAUAUGUUGGCAUCUGUAUGGGCGUCCUUCUGCUGGUGGUCAUGGUCACAGCAAUCUUCUUCUUCUCCCUGGACGGCUGUGAAGGACCAAUAACAUCCGCCAAGAGCAGGACAAAGGUGCAGGAGGCGUCCACACCAGCAGCAUGUCCAGACCCAAACUCCAACCCUAAAGGAACCCUUCCAUCAUCAUCAUCAUCAUCUUCGUCCUCUAACCCAAAUAACAACCAACUAAACAAUCUCUAUGACAGCUGCAUCAACGGGCCAUUGCAGCACAGCUACCUGCUGAUGAGCGGAACGCCGCCUUCCUCUGACAUAGCAGAUGGAGAUCAUGGGUCAAGCCAGCUUGUGUACGCUGCACUGAAUCAUCAGAACAACAGGGGGCCACCGAAACCCAGCCCCUCGCCGAGGCCCCUGGAGGAAGCCACUGAGUACGCAGCCAUCCGGACAUACUGAGCCACAAGUCACCGAGGGAGACAUUUGGGGUAUUUUCAUGUUUUUUGUAAUGAAUUAGGGGGCUUAUUUAACUCAUAUGCACUCAUUGGGACAAUAUUUUACGUGUGAUGGAAAGUGUCAGCAAUGUGUUAACCUCAGUCCAGGGCUGUUUCGGAGAAGAUGAUGUGAGUUGUGAAGAAGGGGGCUGUCGAGGUUUGAAAAGCGGGUGAGAGGUGUCACUCGUCCUCACCCGUUCUUUCUGACAGGGGAGCACAAAUGUCAUGUUAACACUGGAGCCACGAUGGGUAAUUAACAUGCAAACCAGCCUUAGUGAAUGACCGAAAAAAACAAUACUGUUGUGUGGAACAGUCUGUGUGGAAGGAAAGAAACGCUUUGGUUGGAGGUCUUGCUAUGGUUUGUGACGGUUACGGGAUGUAUGUGAGAAACAUUUCACGCCGAGCAUGUCCUUAUGUGUGUCUGCUUGUAAGAUAAAAUGACACAGGAUGUGACUUCCUUGUCUUGGCCCGCGUGCUACCUGAGGAGGAUGGCGUGCUGGGGCUUUCCAUGGUUUAUGUGAACUGUUGAGCCCACCAUACACUCAUAACUGUAGCUAACUGUAUACAGUGCCCCCCCCCACCAAUGAAAAUGUUAUUUAAAGGGACAAUCUGCUGUUGCGUCAUACAUUUUAUUACUUUUAAGUUCUUUACAUGUUCAUUCUAGAGGAAUAAAUGUUUUUAAAUGUCUAAUGAGCUUGUUAAACUUUCCUACAAUACUCACACCAAC